UAACCAUGAUGAGGACAGCUAGAAAGCAAGUCUUUAAAUCUUUCCCAACACUCAAAAAACGACUCAUUUUCCUUUUGGGAAAAAUUCAUGAUAUUUUUCCUAAGAGU